GAUGAACGCUGGCGGCGUGCCUAAUACAUGCAAGUCGAGCGAACGGACGAGAAGCUUGCUUCUCUAAUGUUAGCGGCGGACGGGUGAGUAACACGUGGAUAACCUACCUAUAAGACUGGGAUAACUUCGGGAAACCGUAGCUAAUACCGGAUAAUAUUUUGAACCGCAUGGUUCAAAAGUGAAAGACGGUCUUGCUGUCACUUAUAGAUGGAUCCGCGCUGCAUUAGCUAGUUGGUAAGGUAACGGCUUACCAAGGCAACGAUGCAUAGCCGACCUGAGAGGGUGAUCGGCCACACUGGAACUGAGACACGGUCCAGACUCCUACGGGAGGCAGCAGUAGGGAAUCUUCCGCAAUGGGCGAAAGCCUGACGGAGCAACGCCGCGUGAGUGAUGAAGGUCUUCGGAUCGUAAAACUCUGUUAUUAGGGAAGAACAUAUGUGUAAGUAACUGUGCACAUCUUGACGGUACCUAAUCAGAAAGCCACGGCUAACUACGCG
rnacentral:rRNA from 1 species